UAUUUUGGUCUUAAAAGUUUUGUGUUUGAUCUGAUUUGGGUUUUCCACAUUUGGUUCCAUAAUUAAGUCAAAAUCUGCGUUUUAUGCUUGAAUGAAUUAGGGCUUCAUCAUUAUCUUUCUUCUUCCUCAUUCAACCUCGCCGUCUACACUUAUCUUAAUCUGCAAACCUAAUGAUUGCAAACGUAAAGGUUGACAUCACUGUCUCCGUACCCAACAUCCAUUCCUCUCUUUACCACCUCUUCUGGUUCCUAAUGUCGUCCCUGAAUCCACCGCUCUGUUUCGGCCGGCGAGACCACAAAACGAUCCAUGGAGGAUUCCCCUGACAUAUCAUGGGGCUGCAAUAUAGAUUCAGUCGAAAACGCCACUUCUCUUCAGAGAUGGCUAACCAAUUCAGGCUUCCCGCCGAAGAAAAUGGCUGUCGACUCUGUCGACAUCAGAGAGAGGGAGGUGGGAGUCUCGGAAUGAAAUAUCAACGAACAAACACUUGCUUAAGUUAAAUUCAAAGGAAUGUGCUCAACUUACUUCUCAGUGCGCUCAUCUACAAGACCGAACGAUGGCUCUUGCCAAGGAGCUGGCAUCGCUUAAAUUGGUUUCCGACAUAAGCUUGGAGGAAGUUGAUGUGCUGAAGCUUGCCUUUUUUGAGAAUAACGCAAAAGACAAAAGAUACAAUAGACACACCAGCCCGUGCUUAUUCAGGUUCUUUGGGAACUUGCGUUCGAUUGUCGUCUGUGUGGAGCUGGUUUUUUGGUUCUGAUAAGAAACACUUUCCCUCUUUUUAAUUAUUCUGCCUCAGUGUUGAUUUCUUUCUUUUGGUGAUUCAAAAGGUUGUCCGGUAGUGUGGAAAGGUUGUUUGUGUUUUUAUGGUCUGUAAUAAUCGUACUUCAAAUUACGUUAAUGCAAUUCAAAGAUGAACAAAAAAAACAAAAUAGACACACCUGUCAAGUCCUUGGUUACUCGAAACAGGUAGGCACAUAGCUUAUGUUUUGUUACAGCUUCCCUUCUCUCAUUUUAUCAUGUAGGUACUAUUGAUGAGGUCCCCACGACUACUACUGUGACCAACCUCCAGAAAUUCAUGCUUCUGAAGUUCAACCAUCUUCAAGCUCUUGCAAACUUUCUUUGAACUCCCCGAUAUAGUUGGCCAAAUUCGUUCAAGACUCUUAACAUAAACAACUCUGUUCAAGGCUCUGACAUAAACAACUCUGCUGCAACAACCCGAUUAUGCAUGAAAGUUGGUGUCUCAAUCAUGCUGCCGCGCAACCUAAACCAAGAAGAAGGCUUGAGAAAGAGUUAUCGAAGCAGAAGUGUGUGUGCUGAUACCAAGAAACAAACUAUCACCGACCUAAACCAAACAUCUAUUCAUUCUAAGAAGCCGCCAGUUUCCAGUACAUAUAUCCUGGGGAUUUUAACAUUACCAGGGUCACGUGACUAACGACAUUGCCAACAUCGUUUACAGAAAAGCCUUCAAUGGCCUCCCACAAUCACUGGUUUAGAAGAAGACUAUGAGAGUUUCGCCAACAUGCUUUCCUCUGUUUCUUUCUCUGUUCUGUCUGUAUCUGUCCAAAGAAUCAUCAAAUGGGAUCCACUGAACUACAAGACACAGAUUUGUUUAGCUCUUUUUCUGAGAACUUACACUCAACGUUCUUCACUCCAACCACAAGCUCGCUCUGAUCUGACUCGGACACGGAUUCACCAAAGCCAUAAAACGAGGAUGAAAAUCGUAGAGUUGACUUGGCAGAUGAGUAACUAUAUGAGCAUCAGAAGUCUUGUGGUGGAGACAACCUAUUAUGAUUCCUUUUCAAUCAAAACAAGCUUUAAUCGAUGAGCAGAUCCGAUAUGUUCAGGCAAACUUCCAAAACUAGAAGGAGAAAGACGAGCAGCGAAAUGAUGAUGCAUUUAAACAUAAAGCAAGGAGCUACCACAACCAACAGAGAGACCAAAGUCCGCUGUGAAGGUGGAGUUCGUUGACGGGACAUUCGAGAACCAUGGUACUGCUGGGGAGUCACCCAAGAAAGUAGUUUCAUAUUAAUUUAGCAUUGUUACUUCUUCUUUUUUAAGUCACGCAAGAACUCCAUUAUAAGUUUUUGUUUUGUUUUCUAUUAACGAGAUGUGGUUUUAAAGAAGGCUACAUAUUAUAUAUAAUGGACAACAGAUAAAAGAAAGAGAGAAAUGACGUCGUCUAUAUACUUUGAGUUUCGUA